CGUUUUAGAAACAUUCAGGGGCCAAUCGAUCGUAAGAUCAUUGAGCUCCAUUGGCGGGAUUUCGCCGUCUUCGUUUCUCUUUCUUCGCGGACGAACACGCGCCAGGGCUUUGCGCUUGUGCGAUGCAUCGGCGCUGCGCCGAUUGCGUGCGAGCAAGCUCCGAAAUCCUCAGAGAGCGGGGAUUGGCGUCAGGGGCUUGUAGCUCAGUUGGUUAGAGCGCGCGCUUGAUAAGCGUGAGGUCGGAAGUUCAAGUCUUCCCAGGCCCACCACUUCCAAUCGAGUGCGUUGUCUUUACUGAGAUGCACCAAACGACCGACGUGAGCAUUCGUCUUCUGGUUACGGGGCCAUAGCUCAGCUGGGAGAGCGCGUGCUUUGCAAGCAUGAGGUCGUCGGUUCGAACCCGUCUGGCUCCACCAGCCUUCGCUGGCUGACGCCAGCUGACGGGUUGCUCGACGAAGGCUGUGACCAAUACAUCGUCCGCGAAACAUCACUUCGCAUGUGUCAUCCGUGAGGAUGCGACAUGCGUGUUUUCUGACAUCGUAAAGAGGAGAUCGAUCCGAGUUUGGGAUCUGCGAAGCAAAAUUCGCGGGGCCCAUUCACUAUCUCCGGGAUCAUUUCGGCGCUCGUUCAUCGCAAGAUGAGCGGGUUGUAAAUGAUCCUCGUUGACGAAGCUUGACCGCCUCGUCAUCGGUUCGAUCUUACGAAGCAAGCUGGUCUUUCUAGUCAAUGUCCGGCCGCGCAGCUGGGACUUCGGUCUGAGUGGCGCGGUGUACAUUCUGCCGAGUGUGUGGACAUUGAUAAUGAGAGCAAUCAAGUGCCUUAAGGGUGUUCGGUGGAUGCCUUGGCGCUGAGAGGCGAUGAAGGACGUGCUACGCUGCGAUAAGCCGUGGGGAGCUGCGAAGAAGCUUUGAUCCGCGG
rnacentral:misc_RNA from 1 species